CUAUAAAAGUUUGAAUAGAAAUGUUAUUGAAAAACAAUUAAUAAAUUUUUAAAAAAGAAUUAUAUAAUGUAUAAAUGUUUAUUUAUUAAUAAGUGAGGUCUUUUUAAGUACUUAUUAUGCUAUUGUAUGAAAUGUUAACAUAUCGAAGAAUAUAUAACAUGUGAAAAUGGCACAUUGUUGUGUAAGAAAUAAAUCGAAACACCAUUUCCCAAUUGAUUAUACACAUCAGACAAUCUUUCAUUGGCAGCAGCCAUCUUCAUAUUCUACGAUUUCUUUGACCACAACCAACGCGAUACGUCGAUAAGUAUCACGUGACUGCUAAUAAUCACAGAUCUAUUCAUUUUUUGAAUGUAUUAAGCUUUAUAUUCACAUGUAAUAAAAAAUAAUUUCUAUUUUUAA